UCGGCCCCUUACGUAACCUCUUUUUGCCAAAUACAGCGCUGGAAAAACAACUAGCCCUUCGUCCACUGAUGACAGAGGUCGAGGGUGAGACUAAAGCAGACUGCAAGGAGCUGCACUCGAGGGACUUGCCGUCCCUUCUGAUGGGAAAACAAAAGGUAUUUUGACAUGUUUACAGCCUCAAAUUUUGCUACCUAAAAAAUUGAUGUGUGUACUGGGGGACGGAAAGGAGUGUGACGUUAACAGCUCUGGAGUACAGCACAAGCAGCAGAACACGCCUGUGGAGCAUAAAAUACUUCUCCUAAAAUCUUCAUCCUUGGAAUUCUCUGAAGUCUAAGUCACAGAAUGCCUUACUUAAGAAAAUGGUUG